GGUGCAGACGGCUUUUUAAGUCGGUUGUGAAAUCUCCCGACUUAAUUGGGAGAAGUCAUUCGAUACUAUUAAGCUAGAGGACGGUAUAGGAAAGCGGAACUCCCGGUGUAGCGGUGAUAUGCGUAGAUAUCGGGAGGAACACCAGUGGCGAAGGCGGCUUUCUGGGCCGUUCCUGACGUUAAGACCCAAAAGCGUGGGGAGCAAAACGGAUUAGAUACCCGUGUAGUCCACGCCCUAAACAUUGGACACUAGGUAUAGGGGGUAUCGACCCUCUCUGUGCCGAAGCUAACGCCUUUAAGUGUCCCGCCUGGGGACUACGGCCGCAAGGUUAAA
rnacentral:rRNA from 1 species